AUGCUCCUUAGAUGUGAUUUAGUGUUGGCAGAAAAACCGGGCACUCCCUUUCCUAGCACAGCCCGGUUAGUUGAACCCCGAGCCUCCCUCCCCAUAGAAGCUCGGGGUUUUUUUUACGUUUUU
rnacentral:sRNA from 1 species